rnacentral:rRNA from 1 species
CAGAGAGUUUGAUCCUGGCUCAGGAUGAACGCUGGCGGCAUGCCUAACACAUGCAAGUUGAACGGGUUUUGCAAGGCACAGAGUAUUUUGUUAUUUGUUUUUUGAAAAAUAUCGGAAUUCUGUGUGCUUUGUGAAAUCAGUAGCAAACGGGUGAGUAACGCGUGAGUAAUCUGCCUAUCAAAAGGGGACAACGUUUGGAAACAGACGCUAAUACCGUAUAGAAUAUGUAUUUCGCAUGAUUUAUAUAUGAAAGAAGUAAUUCGUUGAUAGAUGGGCUCGCGUCCGAUUAGCUAGUUGGUGAGGUAAUUGCUCCACCAAGGUUACGAUCGGUAGCCGGACUGAGAGGUUGAACGGCCACAUUGGGACUGAGAUACGGCCCAGACUCCUACGGGAGGCAGCAGUGAGGGAUAUUGCACAAUGGAGGAAACUCUGAUGCAGCAAUGCCGCGUGAAGGAAGAAGGUUUUCGGAUUGUAAACUUCUGUUCUUGAUGAAGAAAAAAAUGACGGUAAUCAAGCAGCAAGCUCCGGCUAACUACGUGCCAGCAGCCGCGGUAAUACGUAGGGAGCAAGCGUUAUCCGGAUUUAUUGGGUGUAAAGGGUGCGUAGGCGGUCAAGUAAGUCAGACGUGAAAUCUAUAAGCUUAACUUAUUAAAUUGCGUUUGAAACUGUUUGGCUUGAGUGAAGUAGAGGUAAACGGAAUUUCUAGUGUAGCGGUGAAAUGCGUAGAUAUUAGAAGGAACAUCAGUGGCGAAGGCGGUUUACUGGGCUUCAACUGACGCUGAGGCACGAAAGCAUGGGGAGCAAACAGGAUUAGAUACCCUGGUAGUCCAUGCUGUAAACGAUGAUUACUAGGUGUGGGGAGACUGAUCUUUUCUGUGCCGGAGUUAACACAAUAAGUAAUCCACCUGGGGAAUACGGUCGCAAGAUUAAAACUCAAAGGAAUUGACGGGGGCCCGCACAAGCAGUGGAGUAUGUGGUUUAAUUCGACGAUACGCGAAAAACCUUACCAAGUCUUGACAUCCAACUAACGAAGUAGAAAUACAUUAGGUGCCUUUCGGGGAAAGUUGUGACAGGUGGUGCAUGGUUGUCGUCAGCUCGUGUCGUGAGAUGUUGGGUUAAGUCCCGCAACGAGCGCAACCCUUACGGUUAGUUGCUACGAAAGAGCACUCUGACAGGACUGCCGUUGACAAAACGGAGGAAGGUGGGGAUGAGGUCAAAUCAUCAUGCCCUUUAUGACUUGGGCUACACACGUACUACAAUGAUUGUAACAAAGAGAAGCAAGAAAGUAAUUUGGAGCUAAACUCAUAAAAACAGUCUCAGUUCAGAUUGUAGGCUGAAACUCGCCUAUAUGAAGAAGGAAUUGCUAGUAAUCGCGAAUCAGCAUGUCGCGGUGAAUACGUUCCCGGGCCUUGUACACACCGCCCGUCACACCAUGGGAGUCGGUAAUACCCGAAGUCGUUUGUCUAACCUGAUUUAUCAGGAGGAUGGCGCCUAAGGUAGGAUUGACGACUGGGGUGAAGUCGUAACAAGGUAGCCGUAUCGGAAGGUGCGGCUGGAUCACCUCCUU